GACGAACGCUGGCGGCGUGCCUAACACAUGCAAGUCGAACGGGGUGAUUUCCUUCGGGGAUUCACUUAGUGGCGAACGGGUGAGUAACGCGUGAGAAACCUGCCUCUCAGUGGGGGACAACAGUUGGAAACGACUGCUAAUACCGCAUAACGUUAUCGGAGGGCAUCCUCUGAUAACCAAAGCUUUAUGUGCUGAGAGAUGGUCUCGCGUCUGAUUAGCUAGUUGGUGGGGUAGAGGCCUACCAAGGCGACGAUCAGUAACCGGCCUGAGAGGGUGACCGGCCACAUUGGGACUGAGACACGGCCCAAACUCCUACGGGAGGCAGCAGUGGGGAAUAUUGCACAAUGGGGGAAACCCUGAUGCAGCGACGCCGCGUGAGUGAAGAAGUAUUUCGGUAUGUAAAGCUCUAUCAGCAGGGAAGAAAAUGACGGUACCUGACUAAGAAGCCCCGGCUAACUACGUG
rnacentral:rRNA from 1 species